UUAAGAUACUAAGAGCAUACGGGGGAUGCCUUGGCGAUAUCUGCCGAAGAAGGACGUGACAAGCUGCGAAAAGCUGCGGAGAGAUGCAAAUAAUCUUAGACCCGCAGAUAUCCGAAUGGAGCAAUCCGGCUGUGGUUAUGCACAGUCAUCCAUACCAUUGAGUAUGAGAAGGGAACCGGACGAACUGAAACAUCUAAGUAAUCCGAGGAAGAGUAAUCAAACGAGAUACCCCAAGUAGCGGCGAGCGAACGGGGCAGAAGCCCAAACCGCGGAAGGAAACUUUUGCGGGGUAGAGGGCCAUCAAUAAAACAAGAACCUUUAGCUGAAUCUGUUGGGAAACAGAGCCGAAGACAGUGAAAGCCUGGUAAGCGAAAGAGGGACUUGCGGAGAUGGUACCGGAGUACUGCGGGACACGAGAAAUCCCGUAGGAAGCAGGGGGGACCACCCUCCAAGGCAAAACACAGAUAUCGACCGAUAGCGAAUAGUACCAUGAGGGAAAGGUGAAAAGCACCCCGGGAGGGGAAUGAAAAAGAACCUGAAACCGUAUGUUUACAAGCAGUCGAAGACCGCUUAAUAAUAAGGUCAACGGCGUGCCUAUUGAAGAAUGAACCGGCGAGUUAUGAGGUCUGGCGAGGUUAAGCAGGAAAUGCGGAGCCGAAGCGAAAGCGAGUCUUAAUAGGGCGAAAGUCGGAUUGCAUAGACCCGAAACCACAGUGAUCUACCCAUGUCCAGGUUGAAACACAGGUAAAAAUGUGUGGAGGACCGAACCUAUAUCCGUUGAAAAGGGUUAGGAUGAGGUGUGGGUAGGGGUGAAAUUCCAAUCGAACGUGGAGAUAGCUGGUUCUCCCCGAAAUAGCUUUAGGGCUAGCCUCAGGGAAGAGAUUACAGGCGGUAGAGCACUGAUCAGGGGCGGGACCUACCCGGUUACCAAACCUAGUCAAACUCCGAAUGGCUGUAAUUAUACCUGGGAGUCAGACUACGACUUAUAAGGGCCGUAGUCAAAAGGGAAACAGCCCAGACCAUCAGCUAAGGUCCCCAAUGCCGUGCUAAGUGGAGAAGGAUGUGGCAUUUCAUAAACAACCAGGAUGUUGGCUCAGAAGCAGCCACCAUUUAAAGAGUGCGUAAUAGCUCACUGGUCGAGAGACGCUGCGCCGAAAAUGUCCGGGGCUCAAGCACGGAACCGAAGCUAUGGCAGACGCAAGUCUGGGUAGGGGAGCGUUCUUAUGAGGAAGAAGCAUGACCGUAAGGACAUGUGGACACAUAAGAAGUGAGAAUGCCGGUAUGAGUAUCGAAAAGAAAGGUGAGAAUCCUUUCCACCGAAAGCCCGAGGGUUCCUGAGCAACGAUCGUCGACUCAGGGUAAGUCGGGACCUAAGCCGAGGCGAAAAGCAUAGGCGAUGGACAACAGGUUGAAAUUCCUGUACCGGAUAAAGUCGUUAUGAGCAAUGGAGUGACGCAGGAGGGUACAUGAUCGCGCGACUGGAAGAGCGCGUCCAAGUGAGUAUGUAGAUACAGAGGCAAAUCCCUGUAUCUGAAAGCAGAGACAUGAUGGGGAGUUAAAGGAAACUUUGACGAACUGAUGGAUCCCACACUGCCAAGAAAAACUUCUAGCCAGACAAUAUCCGCCCGUACCGUAAACCGACACAGGUAGGCGGGGAGAGAAUCCUAAGGUGCGCGGGAAAACCCUCGUUAAGGAACUCGGCAAAUUGCAUCCGUAACUUCGGGAGAAGGAUGACCCUGAGUAAAAGAAGAGCAGAAACGCUUAGAGGAGAAAAGGGUGGCAGAAAAGAGGCCCAAGCAACUGUUUACCAAAAACACAGGUGCCUGCGAAAGCGAAAGCUGAAGUAUAGGUGCUGACGCCUGCCCGGUGCCGGAAGGUUAAGGAGAGAGGUCAGCUAAGGCGAAGCUUCGAACUGAAGCCCCGGUGAACGGCGGCCGUAACUAUAACGGUCCUAAGGUAGCGAAAUUCCUUGUCGGGUAAG
rnacentral:rRNA from 1 species